rnacentral:rRNA from 1 species
GACGAACGCUGGCGGCGUGCUUAACACAUGCAAGUCGAGCGGAGCGGCGAACGGGUGAGUAACGCGUGAGUAACUGCCCCCCUCCCUGGGAUAACAGUUGGAAACGGCUGCUAAUACCGGAUAGUGGGGGAUGACUCGGGGCCUAUCAGCUUGUUGGUGGGGUAGUGGCCUACCAAGGCGACGACGGGUGGCCAGCCUGAGAGGGCGACCGGCCACAUUGGGCUUGGGUACGGCCCAAAGGGCAACGGGAGGCAGCAGUGGGGAACAGUGCGCAAUGGGGGAAACCCUGAUGCAGCAACGUCGCGUGGGGGAUGACGGCCUUCGGGGUGUAAACCGCUUUCAGCCAAGACGCGGUAGUGGCAGAAGAAGCACCGGCUAACUACGUGCCAGCAGCCGCGGUAAUAC